UACAGAGGGUGCGAGCGUUAAUCGGAAUUACUGGGCGUAAAGCGCACGUAGGUGGCGACGUAAGUCGGGUGUGAAAGACCCGGGCUCAACCUGGGAAAUGCAUUCGAGACUGCAUGGCUGGAGUACGGAAGAGGAGGGCGGAAUUCCCGGUGUAGCGGUGAAAUGCGUAGAUAUCGGGAGGAACAUCAGUGGCGAAGGCGGCCCUCUGGUCCAGUACUGACACUCAAGUGCGAAAGCGUGGGGAGCAAACAGG
rnacentral:rRNA from 1 species